AUUGAACGCUGGCGGCAGGCUUAACACAUGCAAGUCGAGCGAGCGGCGGACGGGUGAGUAAUGUCUGGGAAACUGCCUGAUGGGGGGGGGUAACUACUGGAACCGGUGGCUAAUCCCGCAUACCAUCAGAUGUGCCCAGAUGGGAGUAGCUAGUAGGGGGGGGAAAGGCUCACCAAGGCGACGAUCGGUAGCUGGUCUGAGAGGAGGACCAGCAAAACGGGGACUGAGACACGGCCCAGACUCCUACGGGAGGAAGCAGUGGGGAAUUUUGGACAAUGGGGGCAACCCUGCUCCAGCAAUGCCGCGGGGAGGAUGAAGUUCUUCGGAUUGUAAACUCUUUUGGUCAGGGAAGCGGUACCUGAAGAAUAAGCACCGGCUAACUACGUGCCAGCAGCCGCGGUAAUUC
rnacentral:rRNA from 1 species